rnacentral:lncRNA from 1 species
UUUUUUCUUCCUUGGUUUGGGGGGGGUGGGGGGCCGGGCCCCCUUUCCUAUUUAUGAUCAUUUUUUUUUUUUUUUUUUUUUGUGGGGGAGACCUGACGUUUCUGCUUUCUGCUGAGACCACCCCCACCCCUGACACCAGCAGUCCCCCUCCAUCCUGGGGCCUGGCUCAGACACAAGCCAGGAGUUGGGGUUGAGCUGGUUUCCCUCCUUUUGCCCUGAGGGCUCACCCUCUCCCUUGCCAGAGGAGGAGGAUGGAUGUCCAAGCUGAGGCCCCGUGCACAGGCCAGGCAGUGCAGCCUUGCUUCCCUCCUUCAGUGGGCCCUGCCCUUUGUGUCACCUCCACCUCCAUUAAAACUGCUCUCGAC